rnacentral:lncRNA from 1 species
AUACACUGCAGUUGGAAAAAAUCCCACAAGCAUAGAGAAGUCUAACUUUACAAAAGAAUUAAUUUAGUAAUUAAGUUUAUAAUAGCUCUAGUUACCCCUGAAACUCACAGUCUUUAAUGAAUUUCUCUUUAGAGCAUUCCUGUGAAGCAAGGCAGUGCUUUGGGGAUGAUGUGCUGAGGAGAACUAAGACCUAGAAGGAUUAAGGUCACAUGAAUGUGAGACAUCAGGGUAUCAACUCCAGCAUGAAUCUGGGCUGUAGCACCAGGAAAAGGAGUCUAGGAGGCAGCCAAUGCUACUCUGACUCCWGGUCAUAGAGGAAGUGAUCUAUGAGAAGGGCAGUAGUCUGGAUCACGGGAGGCGCAGGUGCAAGUCUCUGCUGCAGCAUGUGCACUGGCGUGCGGUGAGCAGUGUCUAUCCCAGCAGCCACGUGACUGAAAGUCUGAACACAGCGCAGCUCCUGAUAGACAGGGAAUGCCCUUGUGAAACUCCCAGGCCUCUGCGUCCCGCACAGAAGCGUGAGUCUCGGCCAUCGCACGCUCACUUUUCCCAUGGCCUCUGUAGACUUGUGCAGUUCUACAGAGCUGCUCAUUUUGAGCUGCUUGGGAAUGCUCUGUCACUAGGGCUGCACAUCCUCACACCAUGGCUGGCUGUAAUCCUUAAUUUUCUUUGCUUUUGAGGGCUUGCAUCAGACUUUUAGACAUUAUUGAACAGAGAYGUUUGUGUUUAUCUAUCCACCUGGUGAGGGAAAGGUAAGCAAUUUUUAUGCUUUAAAUGCUUCUCA